GAACCCAGUUUUUGGUAAACUACUCGACUUGUAAUUGAGCGGGCUCGGGUUCGAGUCCCGAAUAAAACA